GGGGGAGACCUUCAGUGAAUGGACCAUCAGAAGUGUAUUGGAGCUCAGGCUUUUUGUUCCUCUACUCCUGCAUGUGAGCGGGCAGGGCUAUUUGUGUGCAGGACAGGGGGAUGUGGAGCAGCUGUGUGGUGGGACUCAUUUUGAUGUGGUGAAGUCUGGCCUUGUUUACCCGCUCUUCUCUUUCUGAGCCUUUGGUCAUUCCUGCCAAUGUUCUACUGAAAUGACGAUGUCAACAAAUGGCAGAAAAGAUAAUACUGGCCUACUUUUUUGAGGAAGAAGACCUAAAUACCAAGGG